GUUACGGUUACUGACUCAGGAACCUUGUAUAUUAUAUACGUUUAAUAAACUGGAUCCUUGUUGUGUUCAGUUAUCGAUACACUACGAUGGAAUUACGGACCAGUUUAACAUAAACAUGGUAAAUAGAUAGACAGCUGAUAAUCAUAAUUGAUUAAGAAAUAACCUGGAAGAAGAAAUGAGUUAACUAUUGAUUACAACAGAGACGAGAAUGCCAUCGUGUUUGUUCUGCUAAAAAAAGCAGGAACAUUGGAGUUUAUGGUUAGAUUUUAAAUAUUUAUUGUCUCCAAACUGGGUAAAUUUGAUAUAGUAACAACCCCCCCCCUUUUUUUUUUAAAUAACUCGAGAACCACACAUCUCGCUCGCUUAACAAAGUAACAAUAAGAAAUAAUUAUUGUUAGUUUCAAGAAUAAUUAAUCGUCAAAACUUAUUAUCCCUCCCCGACAUCAAAGGAAGUUAAAUGUAUUAUCCCAAAAUUAGACCAAAUUUUUAUGAUAUAAGGACGUCUUGACAGGCUAUUAUUUUAUUUUGUUUUGUUGGGUUUUUUUUUGCUUUGACGUCUUCCUCCUGUAUGAAAAAAACAUAAUAGACCCCCCCCCUUUUUCCCCAUAAUAUAGCUUUUUAAGAAGUCAUAAUUAUUUGGACUACCCCUGAAUAUAUUUCAGACAGACUCUUCUCUAAAAAAAUGUAAACAUGAUUUGAGAGAAAUCUUUGGAAUAGUUUUUUAAAUGAUUUAAUUAUUAUGUCAUGUAUAUAAUUGAACAUUAACAUAGUUAUAAACUGAGACUACUAGUAUAACACAUAGUGUUAUAGUAGUCUCAGCUAUAAACUUUCCAUUGUAUUGACCAAUAUGACUAACUCAUAUGCUCUUUCCCAUAAAUGUCACAAUAUCAAUAUAUUACAGUAAAACUGAUAGUUUGAUGACAUUGUUUAAGACUAUUGACCUCAGGUCAGCCUAAACUGAGUUUAAAACUGUAAUUUAUUCAUUAAAACAGUUCAAGACAUGUACCUUCUGAAAUGUGAUUGCAUCAAAAUUAAACCUAAGGCAUAACAUACUUAGUGUGCAGGAAGUGCCACCAAAUAAAUACUGAUUUGUAAAAUUAGAUGAUGAUAUUUGUGAAGUCAAAGAUAUUAUAGCUAGUUAUAACUGGUUUUAGAUAUAAAUCUGAGUAAAAGGUUGAUUUAUAUGUGCUCUUUCAUGUUUAGAUUAUAAUUUAAAUUUAAUCUUUUGAAGUUUUUUUUAUAAUAUUAAGACAUUAAAAUCACAAUUAUUUAUUUAUACACAAAAAAAUAAUUUUUGUCCUUUUUUAGUUGAAUGACUGUACACAAACAUUAUACACACAUAAUUUUGAUAAUUCUGUAAUGUUUUUUUUUUCUAUAGCCCCAGAAUGUGACAAAAGACUUAUUAAUCCAGAUUUACAAAAAAUAGAAAUAGUUCAGCUACCAUAAGACUGCUAUGACAAAAAUUUUGCAGUUUCCAGAAUUUGAGGUAGAGUAUAGUUAGGAAUAGUUUGAUUAUGCAGAUGCUUAGUUUGCCAUAAACAAUUAUGCCCUUGAUACAAAAGCAGAGGAAAC
rnacentral:lncRNA from 1 species